rnacentral:tRNA from 1 species
UCCCUGGUGGCCUAGUGGUUAAGGAUCUGGCAUGGCAUUGUCAUUGCUGUGGCCUAGGUUUGAUCCCUACUCUGGGAA